GAUGAACGCUGGCGGCGUGCUUAACACAUGCAAGUCGAACGGUGAACGAGGGAGCUUGCUCCCUCCGGAUCAGUGGCGAACGGGUGAGUAACACGUGAGCAAUCUGCCCUGGACUCUGGGAUAAGCGUUGGAAACGACGUCUAAUACCGGAUACGAGACGCGAAGGCAUCUUCAGCGUCUGGAAAGAACUUCGGUCCAGGAUGAGCUCGCGGCCUAUCAGGUAGUUGGUGAGGUAACGGCUCACCAAGCCUACGACGGGUAGCCGGCCUGCGGGGGUAACGGGCAACACUGAGACUGAGACACGGCCCAGACUCCUACGGGAGGCAGCAGUGGGGAAUAUUGCACAAUGGGCGAAAGCCUGAUGCAGCAACGCCGCGUGAGGGACGACGGCCUUCGGGUUGUAAACCUCUUUUAGCAGGGAAGAAGAGAAAGUGACGGUACCUGCAGAAAAAGCACCGGCUAACUCUGUGCCAGCAGCCGCCGUAACAC
rnacentral:rRNA from 1 species